AGAAAGUAGCCUUUCCCUGCGGAAAGGAGGCCGACGGGAGCGGGGGAGGGGGAGAGCGGUAGUAGCCGGUGGGAUCAGCUCGCGGCAGAAAUGCUUUCCGUGGCCGGGAACUCCGAAGAGCGUGUGUGCAGCAAUGAGCUCGAUCGGUGCAGCUAGUAACAGCCUCCAGUGACAACAGGAUCAGCGCUCUACCACUCCACUCUGCCUGCAGCUUGAUGAACAAGUGAAGUACACUCACAAGGAAGGGCAAUGAGGAAUCAAAGUUACCUCUGCCUAAAGGUAACUUUUAAAAUGUUAUCAUUUGUUGAGGUGUAGAUGUCUAAGAUAAUAGAGCCUGGAAUGCUGAGCCAUCAUGUGGAAGAAAACUGCCCAGAGAGUCAUUAGACCCACAGCAAACUCUGAGCAAGGAAGAAAAUAGAAGAAAAAGUGCCGGAAGCCGGUCCAUCCUUGCUGCUUGACACAGUUGCUG